rnacentral:rRNA from 1 species
GAAAGCGUGGGUAGCAAACAGGAUUAGAUACCCUGGUAGUCCACGCCGUAAACGAUGUCUACUAGUCGUUGGGUCCCUUGAGGACUUAGUGACGCAGCUAACGCAAUAAGUAGACCGCCUGGGGAGUACGGCCGCAAGGUUAAAACUCAAAUGAAUUGACGGGGGCCCGCACAAGCGGUGGAGCAUGUGGUUUAAUUCGAUGCAACGCGAAGAACCUUACCUGGUCUUGACAUAUCUAGAAUCCUGCAGAGAUGCGGGAGUGCCUUCGGGAAUUAGAAUACAGGUGCUGCAUGGCUGUCGUCAGCUCGUGUCGUGAGAUGUUGGGUUAAGUCCCGCAACGAGCGCAACCCUUGUCCUUAGUUACCAGCGGUUUGGCCGGGAACUCUAAGGAUACUGCCAGUGACAAACUGGAGGAAGGCGGGGACGACGUCAAGUCAUCAUGGCCCUUACGACCAGGGCUACACACGUGCUACAAUGGUAGGUACAGAGGGCAGCUACACAGCGAUGUGAUGCGAAUCUCAAAAAGCCUAUCGUAGUCCAGAUUGGAGUCUGCAACUCGACUCCA